rnacentral:lncRNA from 1 species
CUUUUGCUCCCCCUGGGAGUUCUUGGCCGCUGGCGGGUCUUGUCCGGCAGCCGAAGCUGGGCGUGGUGGUAAUGAGAAAUGAGUCUGGUCUGCAGAGAUCUGGAGUUUGUGGAGAAAAGUAACUGGCGCAGAAAAUCAAUCACCUCGUGUGCCGUUGUUAGUGGGGAGGCAGUGUCUCCGGGGAGAAAGAUGAAAGCGCUCGGUCUCCCCGCCGUGACCAUCAUCGGGGAACCGCAUUUUGCGACGAGAGUGGGAAAGUUUCGUGCAGAUGUGGUUGGCAGCAGUCAGGCUUGCCCCUGGGACUCUCUUCUGUGGAUUUUCCCACCAGCCAUCUCUUCAGCCCAUUCAUCAUGUUCAAAAGUUUUUGAGGUCCAAGAGGUACUAACUUGUUUUGAGGCAACCCAAGACCAAGAAUGGUCUUCAGUGAAGGAGACAGAAAAAUGAGAAGGAAUAUCUGGGCAAAAUAAAAUGCUUUGGAAAAGAAGCA